rnacentral:lncRNA from 1 species
AGAGGUUCAUGGUGACCUGCUGGCAUUCUUGAGCACCUGCUAUGUGCCAGGCAUUUUGUUUCCCCCUUCAUUUUAUCCUCCCAAAUCUGCCAGGUUGGGGAUAAUAACAACCCAUUUUUCAGUUAGAGACACUGAGGCUCAAAGGUCAUGUAGAUUGGGAAUUGAGACCACAAACUACCUCCUAAACCUCUCUGCUGCUUCAGCUAUGCCUCCUAGAGGCGUGGGGCCCUUGUCCCAUCUUCCUGCUCUUACUGCCCAGAAACCUGACUGGCAGUGCCGGGGCGGAAUCUGGAGGAUUAGGGCUGGAGGGCAGCAGAACCACAGUUCUGCCCUCUGACAGUCAGCCUUUACCCAGCACCAACUGUGCACAAGCCCUGGAGCAAAAUAGUGUGAAUGUGACCCCAAGAGAAAAAAAUGCCCUUGUGGAAGACACAGUCCAGUGACAGUGGCUCCAGGUGGGGAGAAUGCAGGGCCGGCUGCCUGGUCAUGCAAUCUGGGGUUUAAGAAGCCGAAUGAUAGGGGCUGAGGUCCUGUCCAAGCAGGGAAUGGGAGGGGGGGGAAGAUCACAUUACUGGGGAGUUGAGAAAGUGUUACGAAAGAGGUAAGACUUGAAAUAGUCUUAGGGAAGGAUAAGAAUUCCCCAGGCAGUCAGAGAGGGGUUUCUGAUGCGAGAGCAACAGGUGCAAAGGCUCGAGGGAACCACGCAUUUUGCCAGACGGCCCGCACUUCUGUUUCUCCGGAAAGCAGGGUGUGGCAGAGGGGCCAUCUGGUUGCGCCAGGUGUGUCUUAGAGCAGGUAGGUCUCAGGUCUUUGUACCAAGCGAAGCAGAGUGAGUUUUACCCUACCAACAUUUUAAAGAUGUAUCUUCCUUACAAUCUCUGUAUAUAGAAAAGACAGCAGCAAAGCUGGGUAGAAGCAGGAAGCAGAAGUAGAACAAGGCCCCAUCCUGACCAGGAGUCGGCACAUUUUUUCUGCAAACAGCCAGAUGGGAAAUGUUUGCAGCUGGCUCUGUGGCAGCUCCUCAGCUCUGCUUCUGGAGUGAGAAACCAGCCCUGGAUAUGUCAAUGAAUGGGCAUGGUAUAGAUAAUAUUUUAUUUCAGACACAAGUUUGACCUUCAUGUACUUUUCAUGUGUCACAAAAUAUUAUCUUUUGGAUUUAAAAAAAAACAACCCUCAAACAUGGGAGUUUCCUGAUGGCUCAGCAGGUUAAGGAUCCAGUAUUGUCACUGCUGUCACUCUGGUUACUGCUGUAGCACGGGUUGUGUUUUAUCCCUGGUCUGGAAACUUCUGCAUGUCAUGGACACAGUCAAAAAGUCUAAAACAACAACAACAAACAACUCCUCCCCCCAAGAAACCCACUUAACUUGUUAAAACCAUUCUGGCUCUUGGGCUGUACAAAAACAGGCAGUGAGGGGAUCUGGCCCCAGGACUAUGGUUUGCUGACUCUUGCUCUGCGCCCCCACUGGGUGGUCCGUGAAGGAGGGUUACAGCACAGGGCUGCAGCUUCAAGCCAGGGAGUGAGGGAUGGGACCUCAGUUUCAAGAUAUCCCAGAGACAGCAAAGUCCAUGUUCUCACUUGUAACAGUCAGGGCCACUUUGGGAAUCUCAUGAAAAACAGGAGGACUGGACCCAAGCUUGAUGGGGCCCCUGCGACAUCUCUAAGGGACCACAAGGGGUGCACUCCCAUGAUGAAAAAAGUACCAGAAGGAGGGGGAGAAAGUGUGAAUGAGAAAACCGUUAUACAUGAACCUGUUUCAAAACCAGAAAUGACACACUGGCUGCCCUUUGCCUGGAUGGAGAGGAAAAGAAGCCCACUCGAGGACCACGGAUGCUGCCCAUAGUCAGAGGGCAAGGUGGAGGCGGGGUGGGGUGGGCGAAUCUUGGCUGGAGAUCCAGCACCUGUAAAGUGGUCUCUUCCUUGGGUAACUGAUGCAUUUGGGAGAGUGAGGACACGGUUCCUUGGGAGAGGGGACUGGGCUAGAUCUUUAAAGGGUCUCUACGGCUCCCUGCUGUGCGGGUUCCGGAGUGGAAUUUUGCGUGUGGAUGUUCGUGCUCUUAGCCCUGCUGUGUGUAGGGCCACAGGGUCUUCUCACAGUGCCAUGGCCCCUGUCAGGGUAGAAACAGCCCGUGGUGCCUCCAGUGCCAUAGUUCCAGGGGUGACCUUCAGCCGAAAGAGGUUAUUUCUUGAGCCUUCACGGCCACUCCCAGUGCCCUGUGGGUGGCUGUCUCCUUUAUAAUUGGCUGGGAACCCAUGCACAGAAAGCAUCUUAACAUGUACCCGAGACUUUAGCAAAUAACAAUAGAGACUCUGUCUCUCCCCCCCCCCCCCCCCCCGCAUGGAGGGUAUACAUGGCUAAUCUGCCCAGCCUGGGCCAGUUCCACCCAGUGGGCACAGCCAGUGGAGACUCGCAAAGACAGUAGGAGGGGAGUUUGCUGUUUCAGACUUGACCUCAGGCCAAGGAGGCUAAUCUCAUCUGCCUGCAGUAGCCCCUGACUCAAGCUGUCUACUUCUGGCCAGCGACAAGGCUCAGCCACGUGCCCGUGCAGCCCAGAGGGUCCAGCCUCGAGGGCCACGUGGGGAGCUGCCGCAUUGUGAGAUCUCGCGGGACUUUGUCGUGGGACGCGAGAGCCGGAAGUAAUGGUUACUCUGCUGACCCAGUGUUGGGAGCCGAGCAGGAGCUGGACGGGAAGGCAUGGGGAGUGGGGAGUUUCUUUCUGCCUCCUCCCCCCUCACCUCCCCCCUGCAGAUCUUCAUAAUCACUUCUCUUUUUCUUCUUGUUCCCUGCACACUCUUUCUUGGGUCAUAACCUUAAAGUUAAUUUCAGAUAAUGGUCCCCAGCCAGCCGGCCAGCAUGUGCGUCAAACACCGGGCAGGGUCCAGCAUGUGGACAUAGCGGUGGGCAGCAGAGCUCUCGGCACCACCCUCGUGGAGUGUCAAAGUUUGGGGGAGCAGAACAGGUGCAGGAAAAGCCAAGGUGGCUGGGAGUGGAGGGAAGGGGUGGAGCAUCACUGGUGGGAGGAGCUUGUCGGCUCCCUUCAUGCUGCAUCCGUAUUGGCCAGGAUGCUCCUUUCUGGCAACUCCGCUCCUUGCAGGUUAUGCUCUUGAAGUGGACCCAUUUAGGAGGUGGCUUUCCUUGCAGUUGUUUUCAUGGGUCCACUUUGAUCUAUGGAAUCAUCCCACUCUAAGGCCCCGUCAUGGAAAUGGCAUUUCAUCUGUAGAUUCUGCAGAGAGGGCAGUAGUCUUUGUUUGUUUGUUUGGUCUUUUUUGGCCACACCUGUGGCAUAUGGAAGUUUCCAGGCCAGGGAUCAAAUCCCAGCCACAGCUGACACCUAUGCCACAACCACGGCAAUCCUGGAUCCUUAACCCACUGUGCCACAGCGGGAGCUCCAAGAGGGCAACGGUCUUUAACCUUCUAUGUUAGUGGAAUUCAGAUCUGCUAAGAUGAGGUGACUCCUUCUUGCCUUUGCAGCCAAUGUGUUGGCUGUGGCACUUUUUUCAGAUGCUGCAAGAUGACCCACAUCGGUGUCAGGCUUCAGAGAGACAAAAUGGAACCACAGAGGAUUGCUUUCCGAGGCGUGUCAACCUAAAAGGGAGGUUUCCACCCUGGGGACGUGGCCAGUGUAAUUAAAGCUGGGCUUUGCUGGCCACGCCAAGGACUAGGUAGAGAAUCAAUUAAGUCCGGUCCUUGCUAAAGGCACACAAGUUUCUCACCUUAACUUUGACAUUGAUGACCUGAAAUAAUUGUGUAACUUAGGGCUUCUGCAUGCUCUCACAGGCUCUGUCUUAUGGCUUUCUCAUCAUAAAGAAGGCUGUGCUAAAGGGGGGCUCAGCCUCAGCGUGGAGUGGAGUCUGGCCCUGCUGGUGCGAGCAGACCCAGCUGUCCGUGGGGGAGCGUCUAGGGAAUGACCUGACCGCAUGGUUCUGGUCACUGAGCUCAUGAAACAUCAGCCACUCUCCCUGUACCAGGCACACCGGGAUUUCUCCCGAAAUGCCACCCGGCGCUCUCUCGCUGCUCUGUGCGGUGAAUCCCCACCCUCCUUUGAAAUAGAUGCCAGCAACUACCAUCGCCGAAACCUGGGCUCAGCACUUUGCAUCCCUUUGCUCAUUUCAUCCUUCCAACCACCUUCCACAGUAGGUAAGACGCUUCUUAUUUCACAGAUGAAGAAAUAAGGCCAGCAGUCUUGGUCUCCGGGUGGGGAGGGAACAGAGGCUCUUUCUUUUCUGGAGAAGAUUUGCUGAUGUGGGCGAAUCCAGUCCCCACAUCCCACCCUCCCAGAGGUGCACACUGGCUGGUCACUAGUGAGUGGACAUCCUUCUUAGCCAGAGGAGGUUAAGGGCCGCCAGCAGGAAGCAGGCAUAAGGCUCUGGGCUCUCAGGCACAGCUGUGCCAUGCUGCUGCCUAACUUCCGGGGUGUGGGUCACCCUCCCUCGGGCACCCAGCAUCCCAGGAUCCUGCUGCGCUCUCUUGUCAUGAGUCCAUGAGUCUGGUGGGCAGGGUACUAAGCCAGUGGCUCCUUGGGAAGUCUGCAGAGAAGCGCCAAAGAGACAAAAGGAACAGAACUCCGCGAGUCCGGUAAAAGAAAAUGUUCACCAGGUUGAUACAAGAUGCUCCAUCUUCAAGGCCGUCCAUGUAGCCCACAGUCUAAUUAUUGGCCACUGGAGAUAUCAUCGUAGAAGGUUUUCCUGUGGAAGUGUUUUAUAACGCAUCUAUAAAUCCAGAGACUGAAGAUCAGCCAACCUACAUCUGCUCACCCCGCCCCCCCCGUAACACAUACAAGCUGUUCUUACCUCGUUAUAUCUUAAGCUUCUUUUCUCAGUGAAUCUGAGAUGUAAUUCAUUACACACUUGGACUUUAUGGUGUGUUUAUGCUGAUUCGGAUUACAGAAUAAAUGACUACCUGC